CUCCUGGCACCAUUGAGAUGGUCUCUUCUUGCACCCUGUAAACAGGGUUGUGCCCCCCCAACCCCUCUGAUCUUGGGGGAGGAGGCCUCCUUUAGCCCUUUGGGCUCUGUGGCAGCCGUGAUGGGAGGCUGGAGUCACGGCCUUUGUGUCCCCAGACACGGGGCUGCUUUGAGCCCUGAUUGAGACCACCUGAGGCACCCGUCAGCUGGCAUUCAGGGCUUUACAGGUUUUCCCUGGGCUUCAUGCCCCAUAGCCAGCUGUGUGCAGGUAGCACCGCCCUGUAAGCAGGGUUGCCGGUGUCGGGUCACCUUCAUGGUGCCAUCCUAGCACUUCUGUCCGGAGUCCUGGCCCGUCGCACUCUGCUCCUGGCUGGCCCAGAUGUCAGCAGCCGAGCCCGCAGACGGCUGCCCCCCCCACCUUCUGCGGGCGGACAGAGGACAGCGGCCACAGGUCCAGAGGAAGAAGCAGAGAAGACAACAGACAAAUAGGAGUUAACCUAUAACCAGGACAGAAAACGACAAAGUCCUCGAAAGCCGAGCGGCAAACGGCCGAGGUGGGAGGUAGCCAGCCAGGGAAAAGGGUGUGAAGGAAAGGGACUCUGGACACAGUGACUGCCCUGCCCUUAGGUUUUGGUCACGUAAGAGCCAAAAUGUGGCCGAGGGAGCCUUGGAGCAGUGGGACCUCCCUAUAAGCAGGAAGCAGGUCUCGGCUCUGGAGGUUGUUGCUCUUGCAGAGCUGUCAGGUGACAGGCAGACCUCCAUGUAAGCAGGAGGCUGCUUUCCUUGUCCCCUCUUUGAUUCUGAGGCUUCUUCACCUGGUGGCAGUGACCACACAGUGUGGCUGCCCUGUAACCAGGGCCCAGGGCCGCAGCUGACUAUUGAUGGGAGUAGCCACCUUGUUAAAAGGGUGUCUGCUGCUUCCUGCCCAGAGGUGAGACUGAGCUGUGCGGCGCCUUGUAUGUUGUAGCAGCCCCAUAACAGUAAGUGUGUGAGAGCCUUGCCGUAGCUGUCUGGUGGGGGAGAGACCCUCCUGUAAGCAGGGUAAAUGUCUCUUUCCCCUCAUUUCAGAGAACGCUGGUUCCUUGAGGGCUGUGACCUGCCUGUAACUUGGGCUCAGGUCUCCAGACUCCUCUUUUGUGCUGCCCCUGAGCUUUUCAGAAGCUCCUGCAGCCUUCGCUUUUCCCCCGCUGUAAUCAGGGGGUUGGUCACCCCCCGACCUCGGUUUGGGGGCUGAGGCCUCGUUUAGUCCUCUGGGCAUUGUGGCUUCUGCCCUUUCAGCCUCCAGGCACAGGGCAGCUUUGAGACUGCCUGAGGCACCCGUCAGCUGGCAUUCAGGGCUUUGCAGGUUUUCUCCGGGCUUCAUGCCCCACAGCCAGCUGUGUGCAGGGAGCAUCGCCCUGCAAGCAGGGUUGCUGGUGCUUGUGGUCACCGUUCAUAGUGCCACCUUAGCACUUCUGUCCAGAGUCCUGGCCCAUCGCACUCUGCUUCUGGCUGGCCCAGAUGUCAGCAGCCGAGCCCGCAGACGUCUGCCUUCCCCCAUCUCCACAGAUAGAGCACAGACUGGCAGCAGAUUCAGGCCCUGAUAGGAGAAGCCGGAAAGAUGGCGCACAAGCAGGAGUCAGCUGACAAGGAGGGAAGAGAACUAUGCAAAGCUGUCAGACGGACAAGCAGCGGGCGAACCACACCAGCGUGAAAAGCCAGGAAAACGGGAUGCGAAGGAAAGGGACUCUGGACAGAGUGAUCUCCCUGCCUUUAAGUAUCAGUCAUGUAUUACCCAGUUUUGACUGCAUGAGCUCUCUGUAACUAAGACAUGAGUUUGUGCCUUUGAUGCUGUUGCACUUCUGUGGCAGUCGGGUGGAAGCGGACAACCCUGUAAGCAAGGCGUGUGUCACCGCCACCUCGUUCGUAAAGGGUGUGGAUCUAGUUGGUGGUCUUGUGCAGCGGGGCCGCCCUGUAAGCAGGGCCCAGGCCAGCUGCCAGACAUGACUGCCAGGGGCGCAGCCUCCUGUAAGCAGGUGCAUGCUGCGUCUUACUGCAUAAGAAUGACAGGCAGUUUGAAUGUUCCUAGCGCUAGACGUCCUGUAAUUGGGAGUCAAAGUCCACUGCUGUUCCCGGCCAGUUGGAGAGGAGCCCCUGUAAGCAGGGUGGACGUAGCCUCCCUCCACUGGCGUAGACAGCCAGAGCAGUCUGCAGCGUUGUGCUGCAGGACGGCCUUGCAGACCGGAGCCGAGUCUCGUGGGGUGGCAGCCAACUCUUUAGACCCCAGAUCUUGACCUUCCCAUGGUCUGGGUUGAAGCCUGUGGCCUCCUCUCCAAUCCCUGUGUCCAGGCACCUGUCCUUUUUCAUACUUCUGUGCCUGGCACGCCACAUCUAGACAGCUGGGCCACCCUGUAAGGAGGAUGCAAGUCCCACGUCUCUUGGUGCAGGGCUAGAUUGCGCAGAGCUGUGGACCACCCUGUAAGCAGGGUCCAGGUCUCAAUGUGCCUUUGAGGGCAGCUCUGGGCCUUUCCCUUUUGCCCCCUUUGGGCAGUCUGACUAGUCAGACGGACCGUGCCCUGUAACGAGGGUGCGAGUCCCGUGCCCCUGGUGCA